rnacentral:rRNA from 1 species
UGGGGAAUAUUGCACAAUGGGCGCAAGCCUGAUGCAGCCAUGCCGCGUGUGUGAAGAAGGCCUUCGGGUUGUAAAGCACUUUCAGCGAGGAGGAAGGUGGUGAGCUUAAUACGCUCAUCAAUUGACGUUACUCGCAGAAGAAGCACCGGCUAACUCCGUGCCAGCAGCCGCGGUAAUACGGGGGUGCAAGCGUUAAUCGGAAUUACUGGGCGUAAAGCGCACGCAGGCGGUUUGUUAAGUCAGAUGUGAAAUCCCCGGGCUCAACCUGGGAACUGCAUUUGAAACUGGCAAGCUAGAGUCUCGUAGAGGGGGGUAGAAUUCCAGGUGUAGCGGUGAAAUGCGUAGAGAUCUGGAGGAAUACCGGUGGCGAAGGCGGCCCCCUGGACGAAGACUGACGCUCAGGUGCGAAAGCGUGGGGAGCAAACAGGAUUAGAUACCCUGGUAGUCCACGCUGUAAACGAUGUCGAUUUUGGAGGUUGUGCCCUUGAGGCGUGGCUUCCGGAGCUAACGCGUUAAAUCGACCGCCUGGGGAGUACGGCCGCAAGGUUAAAACUCAAAGGAAUUGAC